UCUCGGUAGGAAAUUCCUUUUCCGCGGAACAUCAUCAUGUCAUGUUGGGCCAGUGGAGCACCGCCCCCCGCAGCCCAGGGUACCAUCGUGUUUUGUCUAGGUGUGAAAAAGGGCUUCCCCAAUCGGCCUAGUCCCGAACACUGAGCGGCUCAUCGCACUGCUUGGAGGACUUCGCUUGGGUGCUCUAUUCGUUCUCUAGUCCUCACUGCAGCUCUACACAUGCCUCACACAUGCCUCCGUACACUCGUCACCCCCCCCCCGCGGUGCGCGCACUCCCGGUCCUCGAGCCGCGGGGACCGCGCGGUGUGAAGACACCCUGCUUAUCGUGCGGGCACGUGAUCCAGCGCGAGCCGGGCAUUUUUAGGGUGCACGGCUUACUUUGUGUUUGAGCUCUCGUGUUCUGCCAUCAUCAUCACCACCCCCCACAAGUGCUGCCCGCUCCGCCUCCUCUUUUCGCAACAUUGACGCAAUGUAUAAAUACUGGAACAAAAGGACAACUUCCUCGAAGCUUGCCGAAACUGCAUUUAAAACAAAAAAAAUAAAAAAAACAAUUACAGUGAACCGAGAGCGUUUGGCGCAUAAUGUGGCCGUUUGUAAAUGGGAUUGAAUAGUGACGUUCCGGUCGGUGGAAGGGAAGCCCCUUUUCGGCUCUUCACCGGCGCUCAAAUGGCAUGAAGUCCAGGGGAUGGUGUGGUUAUUUGCAGUCCUGCGGUGCUGUAGCAGCACAGAAUGGUUUGUGGGUUACACAGGGGUGCAGACCAUGCUGUGCUGCCGCAGUAACGUCUGGACAGUGACUCCACUAGCAGCAGGGAGAAAGGUAUGUAAGGUUGAGUGGAGAGGCUAAGCACAGAUGCUCAGUGCCACACCCCCCCAACCCCCAUUGGCUGCCAUGCUGUAGCAGCACGUAAAUAUUGGAGUUAAAACACUGCUGGAUGCCUCCAGUAUUGAUCGUGCUGCUGGAGUAAAGCUGGCCGUUGUUGCUGGUUGUCAUUGGUUGUCAGUCUGUCCUGUUGUGGAUAUACAGGUCAUCAGACCUCAGUGGGUGCUCAAAAGGCAGAUGCGGAAACCAGAACCCUUCCUGAAAUGCAUUAUCGACACAGGAAUUCAGCUUUUCUUGUUUAUCAGUGGCAUUUAAAAGCUUUGUUUCUCAAUUAUAUUGUGAUAUUUAACCAAUGUGUAAGAAAUAUAACAAUCACAGAUUAAUUAUAUUUCAUGUACAUAUCAAAUUGAAUAUUCUCAUGUUUAAUGAUUUUUUUGCAUUAUAAACAGUUAUUUUGAUAGUGUAGCAAUGUAAUGUUUUUGGCUGUAUUUUGUUUUUCCAUCCACUUAAACUGGCUUAUGGCAUUAAUCUCUUUACAGCUGUAAAGUUUUAACUUGCUGCUGAAUAGUUACUGUUCUAUUUGUUGUGUCAAAAUAUUUAAGGCAGAAAAUACUAUUAUGCUGAAUGUGCAGAGCUGAACAAAGAUUUUUGGUUUUCUGUUACUAACAUAUACUGACAUUUUGUAUACAUAAUAUUCAUUAUUUUUCUCCAACAAAGUACUCUUCAUUUAUCGAAAUUCAAACAGUUGAUGUGUUUAAAGGAAAUGUCCAGUAUACAAGGAAUGUGAGAUGUACACCUAGUGACUUUGAAUAUUAAAAUUGAUCUUGAACUUU